rnacentral:rRNA from 1 species
GAUGAACGCUAGCUACAGGCCUAACACAUGCAAGUCGAGGGGCAGCAUGGCGGUCGCUUGCGACCGCUGAUGGCGACCGGCGAAUGGGUGAGUAACGCGUAUCCAACCUGCCCCGCGCCCGGGGAUAGCCCUUGGAAAUGAGGAUUAAGACCCGAUAUGUGGCUCCGCCGCAUGGCGGUUCCAUGAAGCAGACGCGGGAUGGGGAUGCGUUGGAUUAGCCAGCCGGCAGGGCAGCGGCCUACCGGGGCGACGAUCCAUAGGGGUUCUGAGAGGAAGGUCCCCCACACUGGCACUGAGACACGGGCCAGACUCCUACGGGAGGCAGCAGUGAGGAAUAUUGGUCAAUGGGCGAGAGCCUGAACCAGCCAAGUAGCGUGCAGGAUGACGGCCCUACGGGUUGUAAACUGCUUUUGCGGGAGAAUAACCGGCGCCACGCGUGGCGCCCUGCAUGUAUCCCGCGAAUAAGGACCGGCUAAUUCCGUGCCAGCCGCCGCAGUAAGAC